rnacentral:rRNA from 1 species
UACGGAGGGAGCUAGCGUUGUUCGGAAUUACUGGGCGUAAAGCGCGCGUAGGCGGCUUUGUAAGUUAGAGGUGAAAGCCCGGAGCUCAACUCCGGAACUGCCUUUAAGACUGCAUCGCUUGAAUCCAGGAGAGGUGAGUGGAAUUCCGAGUGUAGAGGUGAAAUUCGUAGAUAUUCGGAAGAACACCAGUGGCGAAGGCGGCUCACUGGACUGGUAUUGACGCUGAGGUGCGAAAAGCGUGGGGAGCAAACAGGG